GGCUUGGUAGCGUAGUGGUAAUGCGCUCCGUGGAUCUACAGCAUUUGCAUAUAGGUUGAUGGAAAGUUCGGAGUUUGAUUCUCCGCCAAGCCA